rnacentral:rRNA from 1 species
GACGAACGCUGGCGGCGUGCUUAACACAUGCAAGUCGAACGGAAAGGCCCUGCUUUUGUGUGGUUCUCGAGUGGCGAACGGGUGAGUAACACGUGAGUAACCUGCCCUUGACUUUGUGAUAACUUCAGGAAACUGGGGCUAAUACCGGAUAGGAGCUCCUGCUGCAUGGUGGGGGUUGGAAAGUUUCGGCGGUUGGGGAUGGACUCGCGGCUUAUCAGCUUGUUGGUGGGGUAGUUGCUUACCAAGGCUUUGACGGAUAGCCUGCCUGAGAGGGUGAACGGCCACAUUGGGCCUGAGAUAGGGAGCAGACUCCUAUGGGAGGCAGCAGUGUGGAAUAUUGCACAAUGGGCGGAAGCCUGAUGCAGCAACGCCGCGUGCGGGAUGACGGCCUUCGGGUUGUAAACCGCUUUCGCCUGUGACGAAGCGUGAGUGACGGUAAUGGGUAAAGAAGCACCGGCUAACUACGUG